AAGUCGUAACAAGGUUUCCGUAGGUGAACCUGCGGAAGGAUCAUUAACGAAUUGUUUUACAAUUUACCCUGUGAACCGGAAGGGGUAUCGAGAGUGAUAAGGAAAACGCAAGUGGACCUGUCCCCUCGUGCCUCUUACAUAUUUACGUUGGUCAGUUGGUUUAUUAAGAGAAAUAAAAAACACAACUUUUAACAAUGGAUCUCUUGGCUCUU
rnacentral:misc_RNA from 1 species